CUACGGGAGGCAGCAGUGAGGAAUUUUGCGCAAUGGGGGAAACCCUGACGCAGCAACGCCGCGUGAGUGAUGAAGGCCUUCGGGUCGUAAAGCUCUGUCAAGUGGGAAGAACCUGCAGAAUGCCAAUACCAUUUUGCACUGACGGUACCACUGAAGGAAGCACCGGCUAACUCCGUGCCAGCAGCCGCGGUAAUACGGGGGGUGCAAGCGUUAUUCGGAAUUAUUGGGCGUAAAGAGCGCGUAGGCGGCCUUUUAAGUCAGAUGUGAAAGCCCGGGGCUUAACCCCGGAAGUGCAUUUGAUACUAAGGGGCUUGAGUAUGGGGGAGGGAAGUGGAAUUCCUGGUGUAGAGGUGAAAUUCGUAGAUAUCAGGAGGAACACCGGUGGCGAAGGCGACUUCCUGGACCAAUACUGACGCUGAGGCGCGAAGGCGUGGGGAGCAAACAGGAUUAGAUACCCUCGAGUC
rnacentral:rRNA from 1 species